rnacentral:piRNA from 1 species
UGCCUUUUCCUGUGCGUGUCUCUUUA